GUAGUGAUUGACAGGCAUUAUCAUGGUAGUCCUAAGUGGAAUUAAAACGUUUGCAAGUGAACUACACUUCAUAUCAAGGGUGAUUUGGAUUAGACAAAUAAUUAACACUCGAACCGUGGUAUUUGAUUGGCUGAGUGUUUCACGCCUGGUGAUGAUUGACAUGUAUCUAAGCGGUAGUCCUACAGGACUGUUCAAACGCGUGAGUAGGAAUUACACUUCAGAUUAAACGAGUUUGAUUUAGCCAAGGGGAUUACACAAACAAUCUAAACGUGAGUAAACUUCUCAAAUCUUAAGCAUUUUAUGUCAAACAUCGAUCAAAAGCUGAAGUAAGGUGCUUGUUGAUUUCACUUUACUUGUUUGGUGAUUACUGACUCCAUUAUCAUAUACUAGGAUUUAGGCAAAUGUUAACAUUAAUCGUAUACAUAUAGAGUUAAUAUUGACGGUCAAUAAAUUUCUAGAGAAUAGAUUCUAAAUAUGAAGAGAAAGGUUAAUGAGGUAUUUCUGUGAUUAACUAGUUAGGAAGUACAAAGUAUCAUUUUUGAUUAAGUCAACCAUGAUCAAUGUCAUAAUGCGAGGAAGAAUAUGAAAGUAGGAAAAACGAAUAGGCCUUAAAACCACGUGCAGAGUAUUCCAUGUUUCACAAGUAGUCUGGCUUGGCAGGUCUCCAAGCGUCAGAAAAACUCAUAAGUUUCAUUGUAGAGAAUGAACAUUGAUCAAUCGAUAAACAUCCUUGAAAAAUGCAAAAUACAAAAUUGAGGAUAGUACAAACACUGACCCCUGAAUACACCAGAGGUGGGAUCAGGGGCCUAAUAUAUACCAAAGUCCCCAACUGGAAACCAAACAUUUAGAUAUCACAUUUACCCAAGCUGUAAUUGACUAGAACAAUAUCAUAACUUUAUACAGUAUAAUGUCUUAUAGAUAUUACGUGUCCUUUUGAAUUAUAAAUUGGGCUGGGGGCCUGCAUCCUGCUAUCAACUUUCAGUGAGUGCUAAGCGAAGCCCUGGUGGGAGUCCAUGGGAUGAAACACCCUAAAGCUACGGACCUCUGACAACAUACGCUGUGUAUUUUCCAUCAUUUUUAGAACAUAGUUUGAAUUGAAGAUGAAAUGAACAACUAAGCGAUGUAAAUUAGAUAAAGGGGCAUAUAAAGCAAAUGGAAA